UAGGGAAUCUUCCACAAUGGACGCAAGUCUGAUGGAGCAACGCCGCGUGAGUGAAGAAGGUUUUCGGAUCGUAAAGCUCCGUUGUUGGUGAAGAAGGAUAGAGGCAGUAACUGGUCUUUAUUUGACGGUAAUCAACCAGAAAGUCACGGCUAACUACGUGCCAGCAGCCGCGGUAAUACGUAGGUGGCAAGCGUUGUCCGGAUUUAUUGGGCGUAAAGCGAGCGCAGGCGGAAUGAUAAGUCUGAUGUGAAAGCCCACGGCUCAACCGUGGAACUGCAUAGGAAACUGUCAUUCUUGAGUGCAGAAGAGGAGAGUGGAAUUCCAUGUGUGGCGGUGGAAUGCGUAGAUAUAUGGAAGAACACCAGUGGCGAAGGCGGCUCUCUGGUCUGCAACUGACGCUGAGGCUCGAAAGCAUGGGUAGCGAACAGG
rnacentral:rRNA from 1 species